GACGAACCGAGCGAACGUUGUUCGGAAUCACUGGGCUUAAAGCGCGCGUAGGCGGUUACUCAAGUCGGAUGUGAAAGCCCUCGGCUUAACUGAGGAAGUGCACCCGAAACUGAGUAGCUAGAGUACUAAAGAGGGUCGCGGAAUUCCCGGUGUAGAGGUGAAAUUCGUAGAUAUCGGGAGGAACACCGGUGGCGAAGGCGGCGACCUGGGUAGAUACUGACGCUGAGGCGCGAAAGCGUGGGGAGCAAACAGG
rnacentral:rRNA from 1 species